rnacentral:rRNA from 1 species
UGGGGAAUAUUGGACAAUGGGCGCAAGCCUGAUCCAGCAAUGCCGCGUGUGUGAAGAAGGCCUUCGGGUUGUAAAGCACUUUAGGCUGGAAAGAAAAAGCUUCACCUAAUACGUGGAGUCUUGACGGUACCAGCAGAAUAAGCACCGGCUAACUCUGUGCCAGCAGCCGCGGUAAUACAGAGGGUGCAAGCGUUAAUCGGAUUUACUGGGCGUAAAGCGUGUGUAGGUAGUUUUGUGAGUCGGUUGUGAAAUCCCGGGGCUCAACCUCGGAACUGCUUCCGAUACUGCGAGACUAGAGUACGGUAGAGGGCGGUGGAAUUUCCGGUGUAGCGGUGAAAUGCGUAGAUAUCGGAAGGAACAUCAAUGGCGAAGGCAGCCGCCUGGGCCUGUACUGACGCUG